rnacentral:rRNA from 1 species
CAGGUAGACUGGUAAGUAGGCAAAUCCGCUUACCGUAAGGUUGAGCUGUGAUGGCGAGGGAAAUAUAGUACCGAAGUUCCUGAUUCCACACUGCCAAGAAAAGCUUCUAGCGAGGUAAAUGGUGCCCGUACCGCAAACCGACACAGGUAGGCGAGGAGAGAAUCCUAAGGUGAUCGAGAGAACUCUCGUUAAGGAACUCGGCAAAAUGACCCCGUAACUUCGGGAGAAGGGGUGCUUUUUAGGGUGAAUAGCCCUGAAAAGCCGCAGUGAAUAGGCCCAGGCGACUGUUUAGCAAAAACACAGGUCUCUGCGAAGCCGCAAGGCGAAGUAUAGGGGCUGACACCUGCCCGGUGCUGGAAGGUUAAGAGGAGGGGUUAGCGCAAGCGAAGCUCUGAAUCGAAGCCCCAGUAAACGGCGGCCGUAACUAUAACGGUCCUAAGGUAGCGAAAUUCCUUGUCAGGUAAGUUCUGACCCGCACGAAAGGUGUAACGAUCUGGGCACUGUCUCAACGAGAGACUCGGUGAAAUUAUAGUACCUGUGAAGAUGCAGGUUACCCGCGACAGGACGGAAAGACCCCGUGGAGCUUUACUGCAACCUGAUAUUGAAUUUUGGUACAGCUUGUACAGGAUAGGUAGGAGCCUUGGAAGCCGGAGCGCCAGCUUCGGUGGAGGCAUUGGUGGGAUACUACCCUGGCUGUAUUGAAAUUCUAACCCGAAGGCCUUAUCGGCCUUGGAGACAGUGUCAGGUGGGCAGUUUGACUGGGGCGGUCGCCUCCUAAAGAGUAACGGAGGCGCCCAAAGGUUCCCUCAGAAUGGUUGGAAAUCAUUCGUAGAGUGUAAAGGCACAAGGGAGCUUGACUGCGAGACCUACAAGUCGAGCAGGGACGAAAGUCGGGCUUAGUGAUCCGGUGGUUCCGCAUGGAAGGGCCAUCGCUCAACGGAUAAAAGCUACCCCGGGGAUAACAGGCUUAUCUCCCCCAAGAGUCCACAUCGACGGGGAGGUUUGGCACCUCGAUGUCGGCUCAUCGCAUCCUGGGGCUGUAGUCGGUCCCAAGGGUUGGGCUGUUCGCCCAUUAAAGCGGUACGCGAGCUGGGUUCAGAACGUCGUGAGACAGUUCGGUCCCUAUCCGUCGUGGGCGCAGGAAAUUUGAGAGGAGCUGUCCUUAGUACGAGAGGACCGGGAUGGACACACCGCUGGUGUACCAGUUGUCCUGCCAAGGGCAUAGCUGGGUAGCUAUGUGUGGAAGGGAUAAGUGCUGAAAGCAUCUAAGCAUGAAGCCCCCCUCAAGAUGAGAUUUCCCAUAGUGUUAAACUAGUAAGAUCCCUCGAAGAUGACGAGGUUGAUAGGUCAG